GGCUGAAGAGUCAUUCUGGAUUGUUCUAUUUCACAGACCUGAGAGGAUGAAAUGAAAAAGUGAAGAGGGCCUUGAAAAAGGGAAAACAGCCACCGCCUGCCACUCCCCAGCCCUCAGUGCCUGUUCCCUGUGAUCUCCAGAUAAGAAGCUGCCUUCCUUAUUUAAAUAAAUCAUAUCCAAGAAAUUCUUA